GGGAGAACAGUUAGUGCUGAUUUUCAUUUGCAUACAUUUUCAUAUAUUUUGGUGAAAAUAAUAGACUAGUGGAGAGCUGGGCUUAGAGGAGUCGCUGGAAAGGCAAGACUAAGGAAGCACCGCUUCUGGGGAGUUGAGAAUAUGCCUCCCCCCACCCCAGUCAUCUUAUUAUUAUUUUUUUAAAUGAAACAUCUUCAUUUAUUUUAAAAUCUAACCUUGGAAGUUUCCUCGGUGAGGAAACUGACAACUCAAAGAAGAUACUAACUUUCCCACCCACCGCCACUCCUCCCAGCUGGCAGGUGGCGGAGCUGGGCUGCUCUCGAGAGGCCAGGGCCAUAUCAGUUUCAAAGAUCGCUGUCAGGGUGCGAGCAACUGAAGUUGAAAUGGCCGGAAAGCGGAAACUUUUCUUCAGAGUUGUACAGUUGGUGGAAUAUUCAUAGAAGUGUAAUGUGACACAGGAUGCCGAGUCGGUGUCGAAACUUUGUUCCAAACCAUAUUUGCUAUUUGUAAAACUGGUCCCUCAGGGACCAGCUACGGAUAAGAAACUAGAGAUGAGCAGAACUUAAGAAAAUAAGAUUCAUCACCCGUAAUGCCAUCACUUGGAGAUAGCCUUUCUUGACAUUUUGGGGUGUGUUAUAUUUCUAUCUAUAUGCAUAUCUAUUAUAUGUAUGGGAUUCAGACAAUGUGUAUUAUUGUGUAAUUUUUUAAAACUUAUAUCCAGAAUCUUUGCAAGAUAUUAAAUAUUCUUCUGUGUUAUUAUUUUAAUUUUUUCAGACCAUUUUAUUCUAUGACUUGACUUCAACUUAGCCGCCUGUUAAAACAUCCCUGGAGCUUAAACUUUCUAUGUAGCUUUAUUUCCUUGGGAUAAAUUCCUACAAGAGGAAUUGCAUGGUUCCAUGGUUUUCUAAUUCACUAUAUGUUGGCAAGUUAUCGGUUAGAGCAGUGCCACCAAUACGUACUCCUACCUGCGAUCGGUUAGUGUCCGGCCACACUCCUCCUUGGUUGAACGGUGUGUUGUCAUUCUUCUAUUUGCUAAUCCGUAGGUAAAAAGUAUAUCCAAGUUCUUCCACUUUGCAUUUCUUUCUUUAAAAUUUAUGUUUUUUUUACUCUAUUGCACUCUUUUAUAUUUUAAAAAUUAAUUAACAAUUAAAAAAAUUUUUUUGGCUGCAUCGGUCUUCAUUGCUACACGUCGGCUUUCUCUAGUUGCGGCGAGCGGGGGCUACUCUUUGUUGCGGUGCACGGGCUUCUCAUUGUGGUGGCUUCUCUUGCUGUGGAGCACAGGCUUUAGGUGCGUGGGCUUCAGUAGUUGCAGCACACGGGCCCUAGAGCAUGCGGGCUUCAGUAGUUGUGGUGCACUGGCUCAGUAGUUGUGGCUCGUGGGCUCUAGAGCGCAGGCUCAGUAGUUGUGGUGCACAGGCUUAGUUACUCCGUGGCAUGUGGGAUCUUCCAGGACCAGGGAUCAAACCUGUGUCCCCUGCAUUGGAAGGCGGAUUCUUAACCACUGUGCCACCAGGGAAGUCUCGAAUUUUUCCAGUAGGUCAUUGUUGGUUAUGUAUUUUAAAUAGAGCAGUGUGUACAUGUCAAUCCCAACUCCCAUAGUGAAACUGAAUACUUUUUCAUGUGGCCAUUUUAACAUCUUCUUUGCAAAUUGCCUGUUAAUGUUUUUGAAAACCCACAUAUUUGGGGGGCCAAUAUACGUACCCCUCUCUACUUCAUGGACUAUUGUAAGAAUUAGUUGAAAUAACCUAUUUGAAUAUGUUUGAAACCGACACAGCAAUACACAAAUGUGUUGACCACGUUUAUGACCUGUAGGGUGAGGGUCAGAAGGAAUGGCCAUCUGGAGACAAACAGGCUGAGUCAGUGGUACCCAUGGAAGGCUUGGGCAGCUCUGCCUGCUGACGUAUGGGGAGAGGCACCUGUGAGAAAGGGAAAGGGGCCUUGACCCUUUGUUACUGAGAGAAGGCCACCGGAAAUAGACAAGGUCAGUGGCAAUACAGGGGCUGGCAGCUCAAAAUGUUGUUUCAGUUGUUACAACUAGUAUAGGGUACUUCUCUAAUUUGAAAAUGAUCAGAUAAAGAAAAAAACAAUUAAGACACUCCACCCUGCAGCAGGGUCGGCAAUUCAUGAGGCGACAGGAGCUGAGUUCUGGGCUGUCAUGGGUGUCCGUGCUGACUUGGACAGAGCAGCCCCAGGGAGCCCUUGAGAGUCAUACCUGGACCCUGCAGGACGCCGAGCUCACGGCCAUCUCGCACUCAGAUGACGGGGAAGCCGUGCCUCCUUGGCGAGCAGGACCCUGUGAACAGGCCAAGCUUACAGGGAUGAGAAUAAAACGUCUGAUGCUGAGAAACGUGCCUGAAAUGAGAGGAAAGGUUGAUGAGGCAGGUCUCCACAGCCUGGAUCGUGUGGAGUGCUUUCAGAAACCGUCACCCAUUGUACAGAAUAACUGCAUUGGAAGGGUAGAAGCCCCAUGUCUCCUCGGCCAGCGGGUGUUUAUCAUAGGACAGUGGAAAAGAGGGACAAAAAUGCCUGGAUAUGACAUUAAGCGUUGGCAGGACCCGGCCUCUAAAAGGAAGUGUUAAAACAAUGUUUUUGACAUCAAGGCUUUUCUCAAAGUUGAUUGAGUCACAACCCAGCUGACUGAAUUUGGAGGUGGGUGUAUCUGACCCUGCAAGUCAUCCUUGAAGGUGUGCUACUUCUCUGAUAUUCCCUGGACUCAGGACGCCCUUGUUUUCAGAACCGCAAUUUGUUUCAGCACAGAAGGCAUAUGCAUUGCAAGACCUAACCCUGAUACAGAUAACACUUUUCCUCUCUAAGAAAUUUAAAGGAGAGCUUGUGGAAAAGCUCAUGUGCUGUCUCUUCAGUGGAGAGUUCAGUCCAGGAACAGGAUGUGAUUAAGGAUCUUGAGAUGGAGAGUUACCUUGGAUUGUCUGGGCAAAGCACUCCCCGUUUCUUCAACUCUGGAGCUGUGGAGGAGUAUUUUCUGGGGGACUGGAGGCCACACCCAUCCCUCCUGUGGGCGUGUCAUCUCCCUCUGUCUCAUGGGGAAACUCACACCGUGCACUGGAGCUUCAGUUUUAUGCAGAAUUGAGGCCCGUCGGUGACGCCGAAAGCGGGAAGCCCUGAUUUGGCUUCUGUUCCCGGUCCAAUCCAAGUCCCAGCAUCAUCGGCAAGAGGAAGAGCCAUUGCCAUGGACUAAAAGGCCAGUGUGCACGGGCAUCCCCCCACCACCUCUCACAGAUGGAGCGGCCCCGCAAGGCAGACAUCACAGCCUUCAGUUUACAGAUGCGCGGUACCCUGCAGGACAGCGGGACGAUGAUGGGGAGAUAAUCUGGAUCUCUUCAUCACCGUGUGAAAUGGAGCAUCCUGCCAGCCUGGACCGGCCACUCCAGAGAGUUAUGUGAAAGAGAAAGCAAUUCGAUCUUAAGCUGUUGAGUUCACAAGGAGUGUCUGUGUGUGGAGCGGGGAAGACAAGUCACCUGAUUACUGUAUAAGGUCACCUCUACUGCUUUAUGGAGAAAGGACCCUGAGAAGAGGAGUGAUAUCAGGAUCUGAAACAGUCCAAGUGAAGUAUAUUGCGAGACUCCUUUUGUUGGGUUCGUGUUUGCAUAUCUGAACAAUCUAAUGAGAAAGGAAGUCCAGGUUUUAGCUUCUGCACAUCAGGAAAUGGUUACGUGCCCCAGCCUGGCCUUGCAGACGGGCUGAGGGGGGAACCCUCCUUUCUCCCCUCCCCCUUUCCAUCUCUCACCCUGAAGUCAUCUCCGAGGACUUGGGGUACGCUUGACCACCCUGGAGAAUGGCCAGCGGUCACCACAGCUGCUCCCGGGCAUCGGCCUUGGAGCCAGGCUCUCCUGGGGACAGGAGAGGGAAGAGGGAAGCAGGGGUCAAACACGGCUGGAUUUCCUGGGGCAAGGUUUCCCUGUGUGAGCUCUGGGAGAGGCCUGGAGAGCCAUGUCACAUGUGCCGGCUCAGAGCCCAAGCUGGGCUGAGCUGAGUCCCAGGCUGGGAAUUCUCAGUUUACAAGUCUUCCUUUCUGUCCUGUGGAAACAGAUAGGGAAGGUUAAUGAGAUGAACAUGGCCAAAUACUGCUGGCUUCUGAGAAGGAAAAGAGCCUGUUACGCGCUCCUGCAAACACAAGCCCUCUAGAUGGGGACAGCUUCUUACUGAGCUCUCCUCCAGGAAGACUUGAUUGUUUUCAUCAGACAGUUCAAAAGUAGCAUGUAUGCAGGGCUAGUCACUCAGCCGUACAUGCCUGCUGAGUCAGGAAUCAAGAAAACAUCCUAUUUUGCUUCUGACCUUUGCAGCAGCUUUGCCCAACACCUGCCACCUUUCCAAAUACGCAGGGAUUAAUAUCUGGAAAGGAUAGGUCUUUUUAUUCAAAAAAGAAGUUGGGUCUGUGAUGAACUGUGAGAAAAUGAAGAACUAGUUAAGCACUAAAGCCAAACAGUAUAUGGAACAGAAAGAUGAGAUACCUCUUUGGUUGGAGAUUUUCUGAAGAAAAUAUUCCAGAGAAAAGGGCAGAUGGAAAUGUAUGUGUGUGUGUGUGUGUGUGUGUAAUGAAUAGUUAAAAAAAAUGAACUCUAAGUGGGAAGAAGAGAAGAAAGAAGAAAUUUGGGCGCAUCUAUAAAAUCGCCACAAUUUAUGAGAGUUUAAAAAGGCAAUUCCUUUUUAAGGAGCCAAUUCCUAAUUUCCCACAUAAAAGUAUGGGAAUUGAAUGGUAAAUCCUUCUCGGCCGACAAGACCCCUGAAAAGGGUUGGGAGAAAGAGUUACUGUUCCGUUUCCAUUCAUGUGUCUUGAAAGCCCGUGGCUGCGAAACUGCCCGGGACCGCAGAGGCCUGGGUUUCAAAGCUGCCCGAUGACUUUUCAGAGCUGAUCUAUUGUGGGGCUUUGUUUCGUCUGGGUCGCCCUCGUUUUGUUCUGCUCGGGCUGUAUCACUCUUCUGCCGCUGCUAUUAAUCCACCCUGUCUACUCCUCUCCAUUCAGAGGCACAUUUUAACCCUGCCCCGCACAGGGCGCAGCAUGAAAGGCUGAAAGGCUGAGCAUCACUGCGGGGAGACUGAGAGGGAGGGGAGGGGAGGGGAGUGUGGGGUCCUGGGUGCACAGGCUCACCUGGGUGGCUGGGUGUCCAGGAAGCAAAGAGCAAGGGAGCAAGUGGUGUGAACCGGCUCUGUCCAUCUGCUGGGAGUCGGGCAAGCCGGAACGAACCCUUUUUCUCACACGGUCACCGCCUGGCUAAGCUGCCUGCUCAGGCACCGCGAACUCAGGCUCCUGGAGCCGCACAUGAGCCGGCCCUUGUUUUUCAGUUUUGAUUCGACUUCCUUGCUUGUGCCUAAUAGGCUCCUUAUAGCUCAAGUGUUGUCAGACUGGGCUAAAGUGGCAAAAGAUACAGUGAUUUGUGUAAAAAAAGAAAAUUAAAUCAGAAAACUGUUGUUUGGUUAGUAA